rnacentral:rRNA from 1 species
UAGGGAAUCUUCGGCAAUGGACGAAAGUCUGACCGAGCAACGCCGCGUGAGUGAAGAAGGUUUUCGGAUCGUAAAACUCUGUUGUUAGAGAAGAACAAGGACGUUAGUAACUGAACGUCCCCUGACGGUAUCUAACCAGAAAGCCACGGCUAACUACGUGCCAGCAGCCGCGGUAAUACGUAGGUGGCAAGCGUUGUCCGGAUUUAUUGGGCGUAAAGCGAGCGCAGGCGGUUUCUUAAGUCUGAUGUGAAAGCCCCCGGCUCAACCGGGGAGGGUCAUUGGAAACUGGGAGACUUGAGUGCAGAAGAGGAGAGUGGAAUUCCAUGUGUAGCGGUGAAAUGCGUAGAUAUAUGGAGGAACACCAGUGGCGAAGGCGGUUCUCUGGUCUGUAACUGACGCUGAGGCUCGAAAGCGUGGGGAGCAAACAGG